rnacentral:rRNA from 1 species
UACGUAGGGAGCGAGCGUUGUCCGGAUUCAUUGGGCGUAAAGAGCUCGUAGGCGGCUUGGUAAGUCGGAUGUGAAACCUCCAGGCUCAACCUGGAGUCGCCAUCUGAUACUGCCAUGGCUAGAGUCCGGUAGGGGCCCACGGAAUUCCUGGUGUAGCGGUGAAAUGCGCAGAUAUCAGGAGGAACACCGAUGGCGAAGGCAGUGGGCUGGGCCGGCACUGACGCUGAGGAGCGAAAGCGUGGGGAGCGAACAGG